GUGGGGAAUCUUGCGCAAUGGGCGAAAGCCUGACGCAGCCAUGCCGCGUGAAUGAUGAAGGUCUUAGGAUUGUAAAAUUCUUUCACCGGGGACGAUAAUGACGGUACCCGGAGAAGAAGCUCCGGCUAACUUCGUGCCAGCAGCCGCGGUAAUACGAAGGGGGCUAGCGUUGCUCGGAAUUACUGGGCGUAAAGGGCGCGUAGGCGGACAGCUUAGUCAGAGGUGAAAGCCCAGGGCUCAACCUUGGAAUGGCCUUUGAUACUGGCUGUCUUGAGUUUGGGAGAGGUGAGUGGAACUCCGAGUGUAGAGGUGAAAUUCGUAGAUAUUCGGAAGAACACCAGUGGCGAAGGCGACUCACUGGCCCAAUACUGACGCUGAGGCGCGAAAGCGUGGGGAGCAAACAGGAUUAGAUACCCGAGUAGUCC
rnacentral:rRNA from 1 species